rnacentral:rRNA from 1 species
GAUGAGCAUGCGUCCCAUUAGCUAGUUGGUAAGGUAACGGCUUACCAAGGCAACGAUGGGUAGGGGUCCUGAGAGGGAGAUCCCCCACACUGGUACUGAGACACGGACCAGACUCCUACGGGAGGCAGCAGUGAGGAAUAUUGGUCAAUGGGCGCAAGCCUGAACCAGCCAUGCCGCGUGCAGGAUGAAGCAUCUAUGGUGUGUAAACUGCUUUUGUACGAGAAGAAACACUCCUUCGUGAAGGAGCUUGACGGUAUCGUAAGAAUAAGGACCGGCUAACUCCGUGCCAGCAGCCGCGGUAAUACGGAGGGUCCAAGCGUUAUCCGGAAUCAUUGGGUUUAAAGGGUCCGUAGGCGGUUUUGUAAGUCAGUGGUGAAAGCCCAUCGCUCAACGGUGGAACGGCCAUUGAUACUGCAAGACUUGAAUUAUUAGGAAGUAACUAGAAUAUGUAGUGUAGCGGUGAAAUGCUUAGAUAUUACAUGGAAUACCAAUUGC